GACGAACGCUGGCGGCGUGCUUAACACAUGCAAGUCGAACGAAGUGGCGAACGGGUGAGUAACGCGUAAUCAACCUGCCCUUGAGAGGGGGAAAACAGUGGGAAACGACUGCUAAUACGGCAUACGGAUGGAGGGGAUUGCGUGUGAUUAGCUAGUUGGGGGGGUAACGGCCCACCAAGGCGAUGAUCCGUCGCCGGUCUGGGAGGAUGAACGGCCACAUGGGGACUGGGACACGGCCCAGACUCCUACGGGAGGCAGCAGUUGGGAAUCUUCCGCAAUGGACGAAAGUCUGACGGAGCAACGCCGCGGGGGUGAUGACGGCCUUCGGGUUGUAAAGCUCUGUUAAUCGGGACGCGGUACCGGAAUAGAAAGCCACGGCUAACUACGUGCCAGCAGCCGCGGUAAUUC
rnacentral:rRNA from 1 species